rnacentral:tRNA from 1 species
GCCGCCAUCGUCUACCGGUCAGGACAUCACCCUUUCAAGGUGGAAAUGCGGGUUCGAUUCCCGCUGGCGGCA